rnacentral:rRNA from 1 species
GACGAACGCUGGCGGCGUGCUUAACACAUGCAAGUCGAACGGAAAGGCCCUGCUUUUGUGGGGUGCUCGAGUGGCGAACGGGUGAGUAACACGUGAGUAACCUGCCCUUGACUUUGGGAUAACUUCAGGAAACUGGGGCUAAUACCGGAUAGGAGCUCCUGCUGCAUGGUGGGGGUUGGAAAGUUUCGGCGGUUGGGGAUGGACUCGCGGCUUAUCAGCUUGUUGGUGGGGUAGUGGCUUACCAAGGCUUUGACGGGUAGCCGGCCUGAGAGGGUGACCGGCCCCAUUGGGACUGGGAUACGGCCCAGACCCCUACGGGAGGCAGCGGUGGGGAAUAUUGCCCAAUGGGCGGAAGCCUGAUGCAGCAACGCCGCGUGCGGGAGGACGGCCUUCGGGUUGUAAACCGCUUUCGCCUGUGACGAAGCGUGAGUGACGGUAAUGGGUAAAGAAGCACCGGCUAACUACGU